GGAGUAUCCUGGGAACUGUGGUUUGUUAAGGGUAAUGGAAAUCAAAGAUCUGUGAGGUUAGCACCCUUAACAAACUACAGUUCCCAGGAUUCU